rnacentral:rRNA from 1 species
CCUACGGGAGGCAGCAGUGAGGAAUAUUGGUCAAUGGGCGGAAGCCUGAACCAGCCAAGUCGCGUGAGGGAUUAAGGCCCUGCGGGUCGUAAACCUCUUUUGCCGGGGAGCAGAGGUCCGGACGGGUCCGGGCCGGGAGAGUACCCGGAGAAAAAGCAUCGGCUAACUCAGUGCCAGCAGCCGCGGUAAUACGGAGGAGGCGAGCGUUAUCCGGAUUUAUUGGGUUUAAAGGGUGCGUAGGCGGGCAUUUAAGCCGGCGGUCAAAUGUCGGGGCUCAACCCCGGCCAGCCGUCGGAACUGGGUGCCUUGAGUGGGCGAGAAGUAUGCGGAAUGCGUGGUGUAGCGGUGAAAUGCAUAGAUAUCACGCAGAACCCCGAUUGCGAAGGCAGCAUACCGGCGCCCUACUGACGCUGAGGCACGAAAGUGCGGGUAUCGAACAGGAUUAGAUACCCCAGUAGUC